AAUAUUGGUCAAUGGAGGCAACUCUGAACCAGCCAUGCCGCGUGCAGGAUGACGGUCCUAUGGAUUGUAAACUGCUUUUGUACAGGAAGAAAAAGAGUUACGUGUAGCUUAUUGACGGUACUGUAAGAAUAAGGAUCGUCUAACUCCGUUCCAGCAGCCGCGGUAAUACGGAGGAUCCAAGCGUUAUCCGGAAUCAUUGGGUUUAAAGGGUCCGUAGGCGGGCAUAUAAGUCAGAGGUGAAAUCCGACAGCUUAACUGUCGAACUGCCUUUGAAACUGUAUGUCUUGAGUGAGAUUGAAGCAGCUGGAAUGUGUAGUGUAGCGGUGAAAUGCAUAGAUAUUACACAGAACACCGAUAGCGUAGGCAGGUUGCUAAGUCUUUACUGACGCUGAUGGACGAAAGCGUGGGGAGCAAACA
rnacentral:rRNA from 1 species